rnacentral:rRNA from 1 species
CCUACGGGUGGCAGCAGUGAGGAAUAUUGGUCAAUGGACGAGAGUCUGAACCAGUCAAGUCGCGUGAAGGAUGACUGCCCUAUGGGUUGUAAACUUCUUUUAUAAAGGAAUAAAACGAGGCACGUGUGCCUUUUUGCAUGUACUUUAUGAAUAAGGAUCGGCUAACUCCGUGCCAGCAGCCGCGGUAAUACGGAGGAUCCGAGCGUUAUCCGGAUUUAUUGGGUUUAAAGGGAGCGUAGAUGGGUUGUUAAGUCAGUUGUGAAAUUUUGCGGCUCAACCGUAAAAUUGCAUUUGAUACUGGCAGUCUUGAGUAAAGUUGAGGUAGGCGGAAUUCGUGGUGUAGCGGUGAAAUGCUUAGAUAUCACGAAGAACCCCGAUUGCGAAGGCAGCUUACUAAACUGUGACUGACAUUGAUGCUCGAAAGUGUGGGUAUCAAACAGGAUUAGAUACCCUUGUAGUC